rnacentral:rRNA from 1 species
UACCAGCACCCCGAGUGGUCGGGACGUUUAUUGGGCCUAAAGCAUCCGUAGCCGGUUCCACAAGUCUUCCGUUAAAUCCACCUGCUUAACAGAUGGGCUGCGGAAGAUACUAUGGAGCUAGGAGGCGGGAGAGGCAAGCGGUACUCGAUGGGUAGGGGUAAAAUCCGUUGAUCCAUUGAAGACCACCAGUGGCGAAGGCGGCUUGCCAGAACGCGCUCGACGGUGAGGGAUGAAAGCUGGGGGAGCAAACCGG